ACUUGCUCUUCUGGAUGAGUUGCGAACGGGUGAGUAACGCGUAGGUAACCUGCCUGGUAACGGGGGAUAACUAUUGGAAACGAUAGCUAAUACCGCAUAACAGCAAAUGUUGCAUGACAUUUGCUUAAAAGAUGCAAUUGCAUCACUACCAGAUGGACCUGCGUUGUAUUAGCUAGUUGGUGGGGUAACGGCUCACCAAGGCGACGAUACAUAGCCGACCUGAAAGGGUGAUCGGCCACACUGGGACUGAGACACGGCCCACACUCCUACGGGAGGCAGCAGUAGGGAAUCUUCGGCAAUGGACGGAAGUCUGACCGAUCAACGCCGCGUGAGUGAAGAAGGUUUUCGGAUCGUAAAGCUCUGUUGUAAGAAAAGAACGAGUGUGAGAGUGGAAAGUUCACACUGUGACGGUAUCUUACCAGAAAGGGACGGCUAACUACGUGCCACCAGCCGCGGUAAUACGUACGUCCCGAGCGUUGUCCGGAUGUAUUGGGCGUAAAGCGAGCGCAGGCGGUUAGAUAAAUCUGAAGUUAAAGGCUGUGGCUUAACCAUAGUACGCUUUGGAAACUGUUUAACUUGAGUGCAAGAGGGGAGAGUGGAAAUCCAUG
rnacentral:rRNA from 1 species